rnacentral:rRNA from 1 species
UACGUAGGGUGCGAGCGUUAAUCGGAAUUACUGGGCGUAAAGUGUGCGCAGGCGGCCGCGCAAGUCGAGUGUGAAAGCCCCGGGCUUAACUUGGGAAUUGCGCUCGAAACUACGUGGCUGGAGUGUGGCAGAGGAAGGUGGAAUUCCAGGUGUAGCGGUGAAAUGCGUAGAGAUGUGGAGGAACACCGAUGGCGAAGGCAGCCUCCUGGGCCAGCACUGACGCUCAUGCACGAAAGCGUGGGGAGCAAACAGG